UUAUUUUUUUUUCUUCGUUUUAAGGAAACGGUUUUUUUUUCUCAUUCGUAUGAUCGUUUGUUAAAAACAAAAAUUUCAAAACACAUUAUUCCUACACAGAUGUGAUGUUUUGUCUGUAACAAAUUCAUGUGGCCGUAUUACAAAAUCAUAUUCAAACAUAUACGCAAUAUAUGAAUUGAAAAAAGAUUUACUAACAAACUAUAAUGCAGUACGUCUCCGUUUGACAUCCUGUUUUGUUCUCUAG